GAAUUUUUAGUUUAUGUAGAAUAUGUUAUUUACAAUAAUAAGGAUUAAAGUUCU
rnacentral:tRNA from 1 species